AGCGCGAGGCCGCGCUGGAGGAGCUGGGUGACUCGAAGCCUGGGUCUUGCACGGCGAUUCGAGUCUCUAAGUAAGACUAGGGAAGUGGUGCGCGCUUGACGCUCAGUUGUCAGUCGCCAAAUUGAUGGGAAUAUUAGCAACCUUUGUGCCGUUUACCCCGUGACUGCAGGUCUUUCCUAAAAUAGCUUUUGAGGUAGAACAACUGCAAAUGGAAAUAAUAGAGUCCAGUGAAAUGGCUGAUUCUCUAGGGGAAAACAGCCCGAUAUAGGGGUGGCCCGUGGUUCAGCCUGUCUAAUCCUCUGAUGUGUGCGUUUCCUUGCAGAUCUAGUUCCCUCAGAUUCUCCUAGUUGCUGACUCUAAGAAAGAGGAACUAGGAAACACGAACCAGUGGCCGUGGCAGGGCAGGCCUGGAGCUGUUUGGGCAAUAAAGGUCAUCUCUGUGGAGACAGACGGAAAAGGUAUACAUAUGGGAAGCCAGUGAAAGGAGAUAUAAUGCUUACAUUUUUACCUCUGUCGUUUUGGGGAGAGAAGAAAAAUAUUACAAAAAAAUUUAAGGUCAAGGCCACCCGUUCUGAUACCAAUCGACUGACUCCUGAAGAAAGAAACAAUAAUGUAGUAAUAGCAGUGACACAGAGGAACAGUACCAGUUCCUGGACCAGGUGGAGCAGUGGAAAUCAGGAAACAGAAAAUGCCAGACCAUUAACUAUACUGUCCCCCAAAAUGGGAUCUUCAAGAUUGAAUUUCCAAUUCUGGACGAUUCCAGUGAGCUGCAAUUGAAGGCAGUUCAUGGCAUGUUUACAUCUCCUAGUAAACCAUACAUCCAGCUAAAAACAAGAGAUGAAAAUAUAAAGGUAAUGCCUAAAACUCGCUUGAU
rnacentral:lncRNA from 1 species